CUGUAAGCCUGUGAAGGUGUGCUGUGAGGCAUGCUGGAGGUAUCAGAAGUGCGAAUGCUGACAUAAGUAACGAUAAAGCGGGUGAAAAGCCCGCUCGCCGGAAGACCAAGGGUUCCUGUCCAACGUUAAUCGGGGCAGGGUGAGUCGACCCCUAAGGCGAGGCCGAAAGGCGUAGUCGAUGGGAAACAGGUUAAUAUUCCUGUACUUGGUGUUACUGCGAAGGGGGGACGGAGAAGGCUAUGUUGGCCGGGCGACGGUUGUCCCGGUUUAAGCGUGUAGGCUGGUUUUCCAGGCAAAUCCGGAAAAU
rnacentral:rRNA from 1 species